rnacentral:lncRNA from 1 species
CUCUGUUCUGGCAGGUAAGGCUAUUCUCAAUGCAAAGUUUCAUAUUUAUGUUUCCAAGAGUGUCAUGUAUUUAGUUUAUAGAUGAAAUAGCUCACACAAUGCAUAGUUUCAUUUCUUGUUGUUUCUAAGGCUAAAUGUAAGACACAAAGAUCUUGGAAACAGUGUACACAUGGUUUUAUCCCCCAUGAAAUCACUUUAUUCUCUCACCUUGUAAAUAGUGUGCCAUGUCAUCAAAAUUGCCUAUAUGGCAGCUCAUUUAUUGUCCAUGAAACUCCCAUUGAGAAUGGCCUAACAGUAAGUUAAUUACUCUGCAUGUACACAUAGUUCUACGAGAGCUAAGGCUAGU